AGCGAACGCUGGCGGCAGGCUUAACACAUGCAAGUCGAACGGGCACUUCGGUGCUAGUGGCAGACGGGUGAGUAACGCGUGGGAACGUGCCUUUCGGUUCGGAAUAAUCCAGGGAAACUUGGACUAAUACCGGAUACGCCCUUCGGGGGAAAGAUUUAUCGCCGAAAGAUCGGCCCGCGUCUGAUUAGCUAGUUGGUGAGGUAAAGGCUCACCAAGGCGACGAUCAGUAGCUGGUCUGAGAGGAUGAUCAGCCACACUGGGACUGAGACACGGCCCAGACUCCUACGGGAGGCAGCAGUGGGGGAAUAUUGGACAAAUGGGCGAAAGCCUGAUCCAGCCAUGCCGCGUGAGUGAUGAAGGCCUUAGGGUUGUAAAGCUCUUUGUCCGGGAAGAUAAUGACUGUACCGGAAGAAUAAAGCCCCGGCUAACUUCGUGCCAGCAG
rnacentral:rRNA from 1 species